UAGUCAGCUCAGGCUCAACCAGCAGACCAGUCUAAGCUCAAACAGUAAAGGAUCUCAGGCUUGACAUCUGCAGCUUCCAUCAUUCCUUCAGCAUUGCUGACACUUUUGUCACUGAUUAGAUUCUGGGAAACAAAAAGACAGACAAAAUGAGACUGGGAAAAUAAGAGAAAUCUGAAAGCUGAGAAGCAUAUGCAGAUUGCCAGUAAUGGGUUUGAGCUGACUGGACCUCUGUUUUUUUCCACUGGCUGGACUGGGGAAAGACGAAGACUCACCAUAUGCAAGCAAUGCUCAGCCAUCAGGAAAUAUUACUUUGAACCAGACUGAGUUUUGAAGGUUUACAUUUCAGUGUAUUCUACAUAAGAUGACGGU